CCUACGGGUGGCAGCAGUGGGGGAUCUUGCACAAUGGGGGAAACCCUGAUGCAGCGACGCCGCGUGAGUGAAGAAGUAUUUCGGAAUGUAAAACUCUAUCAGCGGGGAAGAAAAUGACAGUACCUGACCAAGAAGCCCCGGCUAACUCCGUGCCAGCCGCCGCGGUAAUACGGAGGGGGAAAGCGUUAGCCGGAUUUACUGGGUGUAAAGGGAGCGUAGACGGUUAGGUAAGUCUGGAGUGAAAGCCCGGGGCCCAACCCCGGGACUGCUUUGGAAACUGGGUAACUGGAGUACAGGAGGGGCAGGCGGAAUUCCUGGGGUAGCGGUGAAAUGCGUAGAGAUCAGGAGGAACACCGGCGGCGAAGGCGGCCUGCUGGACUGAAACUGACGUUGAGGCGCGAAAGCGUGGGGAGCAAACAGGAUUAGAUACCCGAGUAGUC
rnacentral:rRNA from 1 species